GACUACACAAGUGCAUUACAAAGUCCCUCGAGCAUCCAUCCAUAUGCCAUGUUGCUUUAUCAAAAUCUGCAUAAUGAGAAAGAAGUUAGAAGAAGAAUACAAUAAGAAAGAAAUUAUCUAAAUUAAGCUAAGCAAUUAGAAGAAGAAGUGGAAGAAGAAGAAGAAGAACAAGAAGAAGAAGAAGAAGAAGAACAAGAACAAGAAGAAGAAGUGGAAGAAGAAGACUAAAGCAUGACUAAUAUCAACUAGAAUUUACUAAGCUAACUAAAGCAUGGCAUAAUCUAAGUUGAUC
rnacentral:lncRNA from 1 species